GUUCAAUAUUUGAACUCUGUUUGUGAUUGGUCAAAAUUCAUGUGAGUGUGUUUUCAUUGGUUAACCGACGUUCAUCGGUUAACCAAUGAAACGACUCACAUAAAUUAAGACCAAUCACAAACAGAGUUCAAAUAUUGAAC